GACGAACGCUGGCGGCGUGCUUAACACAUGCAAGUCGAACGGAAAGGCCCCUUUGUGGGUACUCGAGUGGCGAACGGGUGCGUAACACGUGAGUAACCUGCCCUUGACUUCGGGAUAACUUCAGGAAACUGGGGCUAAUACCGGAUAGGAAUCCUUGCUGCAUGGUGGGGGUUGGAAAGCUUCGGCGGUUUUGGAUGGACUCGCGGCUUAUCAGCUUGUUGGUGGGGUAGUGGCUUACCAAGGCUUUGACGGGUAGCCGGCCUGAGAGGGCGACCGGCCACAUUGGGACUGAGAGACGGCCCAGACUCCUACGGGAGGCAGCAGUGGGGAAUAUUGCAGAAUGGGCGGAAGCCUGAUGCAGCAACGCCGCGUGCGGGAUGACGGCCUUCGGGUUGUAAACCGCUUUCAGCAGGGGCGAAGCUUGUGGUGACGGUACCUGCAGAAGAAGCACCGGCUAACUACGUG
rnacentral:rRNA from 1 species